GGGCCAGCCUCGACACCCUGUGGUUCUACUCCCCAAGAGACCAUCCCCAAGGGAGCUCAUGUCGUGGGGCCCUGAGCAAGCCCGCUCGCUGGCACCUUCUUUUCCUGA
rnacentral:sRNA from 1 species